GGGGUAGAAUUCCAGGUGUAGCGGUGAAAUGCGUAGAGAUCUGGAGGAAUACCGGUGGCGAAGGCGGCCCCCUGGACAAAGACUGACGCUCAGGUGCGAAAGCGUGGGGAGCAAACAGGAUUAGAUACCCUGGUAGUCCACGCCGUAAACGAUGUCUACUUGGAGGUUGUGCCCUUGAGGCGUGGCUUCCGGAGCUAACGCGUUAAGUAGACCGCCUGGGGAGUACGGCCGCAAGGUUAAAACUCAAAUGAAUUGACGGGGGCCCGCACAAGCGGUGGAGCAUGUGGUUUAAUUCGAUGCAACGCGAAGAACCUUAC
rnacentral:rRNA from 1 species